CCCACCUCAAGAUGAGAUUUCCCACAGGGCAAACCUGGUAAGGCCCCUGUAAGAAGAACAGGUAGAUAGGCCGGAGGUGUAAGUCCAGUAAUGGAUUGAGCUGACCGGUACUAAUAGGCCGAGGGCUUGACCUC
rnacentral:rRNA from 1 species